GGAAAGCGGAAUUCCUAGUGUAGCGGUGAAAUGCGUAGAGAUUAGGAAGAACACCAGUGGCGAAGGCGGCUUUCUGGACUGUAACUGGCGCUGAGGCACGAAAGCGUGGGUAGCAAACAGGAUUAGAUACCCUGGUAGUCCACGCCGUAAACGAUGGAUACUAGGUGUAGGGGGUAUCAACUCCCUCUGUGCCGCAGUUAACACAAUAAGUAUCCCGCCUGGGGAGUACGGUCGCAAGAUUAAAACUCAAAGGAAUUGACGGGGGCCCGCACAAGCAGCGGAGCAUGUGGUUUAAUUCGAAGCAACGCGAAGAACCUUACCUGGACUUGACAUCCCUUGCAUAGCCUAGAGAUAGGUGAAGCCCUUCGGGGCAAGGAAACAGGUGGUGCAUGGUUGUCGUCAGCUCGUGUCGUGAGAUGUUAGGUUAAGUCCUGCAACGAGCGCAACCCUUGUUAUUAGUUGCUACCAUUAAGUUGAGCACUCUAAUGAGACUGCCUGGGUAACCAGGAGGAAGGUGGGGAUGACGUCAAAUCAUCAUGCCCCUUAUGUCCAGGGCUACACACGUGCUACAAUGGUAGGUACAAUAAGAGGCAAGACCGUGAGGUGGAGCAAAACUUAUAAAGCCUAUCUCAGUUCGGAUUGUAGGCUGCAACUCGCCUACAUGAAGCUGGAGUUGCUAGUAAUCGCGAAUCAGAAUGUCGCGGUGAAUACGUUCCCGGGCCUUGUACACACCGCCCGUCACACCAUGAGAGCUGGUAACACCCGAAGUCCGUGAGGCAACCGUAAGGAGCCAGCGGCCGAAGGUGGGAUUAGUGAUUGGGGUGAAGUCGUAACAAGGUAGCCGUAGGAGAACCUGCGGCUGGAUCACCUCCUU
rnacentral:rRNA from 1 species